UUUUUUUUUGUAUGUAAAACAUCAUUGAUAAUGGUCUUGGAGCUUCUGGUCGAGUGGUAGGGAGCGGGAUUGGGACGCUACAACAUUUCAGGUUCGAUUCCCUUGCUGCGCGAAACUAAGUCACAUUUUCCUGGAAACCUUUACACGGAUAUGGACCUAUCUAACGGUCCAUUUGAAUAUCCGGAGAGAAGGUCUAUCCGUGGGCUUCACCUCCCCUAGAGAUUAGUCUCGGACCCUCCAUAAGCCUAGGGAUUUACUCUGAGUUAACAAAAAAAAAACAUCAUUAAUAAUGUAACUUGUUGAGUUAACCAUUUAACCAUUUAUGUUUGUGAGUCCUCGAAAUAAAGAGUUCGCCUUAGCCGCUGUGCUCCCUGGCACAACCCCCAAAAAACUUCUUCCCGGCAGCGUCAAAUCAGAUCGGCGUCACUGGACCACUGUUCUGUCACCACCAUCCUCUCCUCUGUUACAAAGCUCUCACUAGUAGAAUUGUUCAGUAUAGUUAUGAAAUUUAGCUACAAAGUAAAUAAUAACAAAUGUUAGCUACAAAAUAUGACACAAUGUUACUAAAAAUAGUCCAAUAUUUUUUGUGACAAAUUCGUUAGUAUUCGUAGCAAUUCAAUUACAAAAAAAAACGAAAUAUGGUCGUAGCAAAUUUACUACUCAUUUAGUUACAAAAAAAGUUUGUAGCCAAUGAGAUACCGUAACUGUUUGUAUGGAUGAAUAUAUAUAAAAAGGACGACAUUAUUUGCCACAAAUGAGUUGUAACAAUUGUGACAACUUGUUUCAGAAUUAUCAUACCUUACAUUAGAAUUGUAUAUGAGGUUUCGAGAUCUGGACAUCACUAAGCGUAGUCCAGUUAUUGUUUUAAUUGAGUGUAGGGUUAAUUUUUGUUUCUCCCUUCUCUCUCGAUGUUUAUCUCCAAUGGCAACGAGAUAGACAAGUCACUGAGCGUUUGUUACGGCUUCGACGCAAGGUAUUGGAAGGUAAAGUAGCAAUUUUGAUGGCUUCGACUCAAGAGAUUGGUUUCAGAAUCAUUGAGCGCUUCCGUCGUCGUCUCUUCCCGCAAACAGGAAAAUGUUGACGAGGCUGUAGAGAAACUCAAAUCCAAAGGGAUUGAUGCAUUAGAAUCGUUUGUCAUGUUUCCAAUGCUCAACAUCGCCGUAAUCUUUCUGGAUUUCAACCACAAGGAUCCAUGGCUAUGUACGACGUCACUAAGACUGCUCUUCUCGGCCUAGUGAAGUCUAUUAGAUGGUAUGCUUAAGUAUGAGCUCCUCUUCACAAGGCUGGCCAUGUUGUUUAUUCAGUCUUUGUCUUAGAUUGUUGCCUUCAUGGAUUCACUUUUGGUGAUAUUCUGGAAGAGAGUAACUGAGUUAGAGAACAAGUGGAGAGAAUUUGGAGCCAGACUCAUUAAGAAAGAUUGAACCCUACGACGAAGUCGAAAUGGUCAGGCUAAGGCUAACACAAUUACUAGAUUGAUAAGGUACACUCUUCACUUCUAACUCACAUGUCUUCUAUGAUUAAUGCAACCUUAUUUAUGUGUUCUUCCUUUUUAGAAUGUUAUGUAUAUUGUCAAGUUUGUCUAUGUUCUCAAUGAACACUUGCAGGACAUGAUCGAAAAUGAGUUUUAUGCUGGUGCUUACAAGGGAGUUGUAUACUUACUAGCUCAAGCAAAGCAACAAUGUGGUGGACAAAUUACUUCUAAGAUGAAUGGAAUGUUUAUGAAGGUCGUGGUGGUGUCUUUGGUGGUGGUGUGGGUGGUGCAUUUGGUGGUGGUGGUGGUGAAGGUCGUGGUAAUGGCCGUGGAGGACACAGCGGAGGGAGACUUCCAGGACAUGGUGGAGGUGGACACGGGGGAAGGGGAAUGAACAAUCUGCAAAUGAGUAUUGAUGGAAAAAGUUGUAGUCAAUUCGCGUAGCAAUUUGACACUAAUACUAACACCUUAUUUGUAGCUAUUUGUUGCAACUUUGUUACCAAUAUAUAGUCACAUUAUGUAAAAACCAA